UAAUUCUAAAAAUGCUUUUAAUGGAUAUAAACAAUAUUUUUUUGUAAAUUUUGUGAAUUUAGUUACUGGUGCAAUAAUUUACGUGACUGCCCAGUAACUGAUUAUAUGCUUAGUUACCAGUACAAUUCACUUCAACGAUACGCAAUUAGAAAGUACCAAUAACUAAAUCGGAUUACUGAAUCACUUUUAAGAUUCAUUCCAAUCAUAAACAUGCCAAAGAUAGUAAAAAAAAAUAUACGCAAGAAGAUAUAAAUACUGCUUUGAAGCAUAUAAAAAAUGGCAUGUCGUUAAGAGAGGCAACAAAAAUAUAUAAUGUAUCGAGAAGCACGCUCUAUUGCAAAGCAAAAAAUAUCUAUCCUGUCGAGUGUUCUAAAGGCCCACCAACUAUUUUAACGAAAGAAAAAGAAUUACAAAUAACAGGAUGGCUAAUCUACUGCGAAAAAUUUUCCAGUUAGUAAAAAUCAAUUGCUUGAUAGUGUGCAUUUAUUAGUAGUUGAAUUGGAGAGAAGAACGUUUUUCACAAAUAACAGGCCUGGUAAAUAAACAUUGAUAUGAAAAUUUCUGUAAACGUCAUCCAGAAUUAUGCAUCAAAGUGUCUCAAAAUUUGACACGUAUUCGUGAUUCAGCUACAGAGAAUAUUUUAAGAAAUUAGUUCGCUGAAGUGCAUGCACAUUUGCACACAAAAAAAUGUUAUUAACUGAUUCACCCAAGGUAUUUAAUUGUGAUGAGAAUGCAUUCUUUCUUUAGCCCUAAAGCUAA